UUCAGCAGCCAUAUCACCCUGCAGCCCAAGACUGGUUGCCCACUGAAGCUAAGCAUGAUUGAGCCUGGUCAGUACCUGGAUGGGAUACCUCCCGGGAAAACUAGGUUGCUGCUGGAA
rnacentral:rRNA from 1 species